AUUUAGUCUCUGUGUUCCCCUCACUCCCGGUCUGGUCAUCGUUUGUCUUGGGCUGUUCCUGCUCCCUGUUUGCUCCUAGCACCUCAUCUCGUCCCCUUCAGACCAGACUGAGGGCAGAGCAGAGCUCCUGCAGCAGGUCCACGUUCAGAAAAUCCCUGACAUGAAGUGGGAGAAGUUCUGAAUUCUGGGUGAGUUCUGCAACCAAAGCUUGGCCCUUCUGAUCUGUUAAUUUGUUUAAAGAUAUUUAAACCAAACAGACAUAUGGACAGGUGCUGUUGCUUCCUACCGUCCCUGUGCCGACUGUGAAUAUCCACGAAAGUAUUGGAAGCGUCCGUAUAAAUAGAGCAGCCCACAGACUGCAGACAGACCUGAAACAAAUCAAACAUGAGCUGAAUGAUACAAACUCAGGACUGUGACUGAGACUCAAUCAGCUGUUUGUGUCUGAUCACCUUGACUGAAGAAGACUCCAGAUGUCCACAGGACGGUGAUGAAGAUCGGGAAAUACUCAGAACAGUUGGCUCUGAACAUGAUGAAGGUUUUAAACAAUUAUUGAUCAUAUCUCAAGUGAUGGAGGAAGUAUUUAGAUUAUUAACUUCAGUAAGGUACCAAGACUGUGAUGUAAGAAUACUUGUUGUGCAGGAGAAAUAACAAAAUAAAAGCACAGCAAGUUUAGCAGCAAAAAUGUACUUUAAGUAUUAAAGUUAAAAUAAAAGAUAUGUUAUUGCACUUAAAUUGUUCAGAAAACAUUUGACUGAAUCAUUUUUUAUUAAAUUUCACAGUGAGGAAGUUUAGUAUCCAACCAGACUUCAGUCAUCUUUUUUCCAAUUUAACCACUUCGCAGUGAGACAGUCCCCUCUCAUUUUCCCAGCAUGCUUUCUUAUUGUGUCUCAGAUUUGAUUUCUGUCUUUUUAAGUCUUUUAAGUGCUGAAAAAAAAUGACAAUUUGAAAAUGCAUGUUUUUGAGACGAGUGAUUGAACUGUUUAGAGCAGCUUGAGUCUAUGAAAAUGAUGCCAAGUGCUGCUUUCACUUUCAUUUUCAUAUUAUUACAACAAUUGUCUUUUUAUUUUUUAUUUCUUUAGAAAAGUGCGCUGACACAUAAAUGUAAAGACCGGCAGAGAGCUGUGUUGCUUAUUUCAUUUGAACAUCGUCCACUGUGAGCUGGUCGAGUCUCUGAAAAUGAAAUGCGCAAAGCUAUUUUCACUCUUAUUUCACUCUGCAUUUUCAUUUUUACUGCAACUCAAACAAUGUCUUCUCAAAGGAAAAUUAGCCUCAUUGUUUACACUGCAUUCAAAUGAUGUCUUAUUAUGGAAAAGCAGAUGCAGUAAUGAGGACGCUGCUUUGUUUAUGUCAUUUGAAUACUGUCCACCACACACAGCAUGUUCACUCUGAAAAUGAAACAUCUUUUCCAUUUUCAUUUUAAUAUCGCCACAGAACGCUGAUUCAAGUGUGAAAAUGAAAAUGCUUAUUGGGUUAUUGCAUUUUAUCUUUUUUCUCAAAUACACGUGGACAAUCAUAAUGCUUUUGCUGAAUUAGAUUUUAAUUUUCAAGUUUAUCUUUGUAUCAUCUUAAUAAAGUCUCUCACAGGCUUCCACAAAAUUCCAGCCGUUGACAUCAAGUGAGGCACUAAAUAAACCU